AUUGAAUCUGCUGUCAAAGCUGACUGGAUCACUGGAGUGUGAAGGGCCCAAGAAUACUAUCCAGCCACCUGAUGAAUGGAUAGUUAAAAAGUUGUUACCAAUAACUUGGAACUUUUGAAUUUUGAACACAUGCCAAAGAAUGGACAGUUUACAUGGACUGUUGGGUGUUUCUUGACAUAGUGUCCCCACUGCUCCCAGCAAACCAGGGUUCCAGUGUAUACUGUGCUGGAUCUGACCAUCUGAUAUAAUGACCUUUUACUUCUGAACACAUCUUGUUGGAUGUUACAUCAUAUGUAAUGAUUUAUUUGGAGAACUAAAAUGCUUAUCAUCAUUGCUGAUGUGACGUGUGUGUGAACAUUUUGUAUUGAGUUACUAUUCUGUGGACUCAGCGGGCCGUGACAUCGAGGACUUGGCCUCAACAUGGAGUGUCUCGCCUACAAUCAGCAGAGGUUCGCCUCAGUCAUUGAGAACAUCAACAGGGAACUUCAUGAAAAAGGUUACCUGGUGGUCAAUGACGAUGACAACAUGCAGGAUCUUGCUCCCAGCUCCUCCACCAAGGCAGUCCUGCAGCAGCGACAGCUUCUCACAGACAUGAGGGCUCAAAACUAUGACGUCAUCCGGUUUGCCACCUACAGAACAGCAUGCAAGCUACGCUUCAUACAGAAGAAGACAAGCCUGCACCUUGUAGACAUCUGGAACAUGAUCGAAGCAUUCCGGGAAAAUGGCCUCAACAUGGUCGAUGCCCACUUUGAGCUGAGUACAUCCCGUCUUGAGUCGCUGUUGACAACAGUCUUCACACAACUCAACAAGAGGCUACCCCAGAACCAGCAGAUAGUGGUGGAACAGUCCGUCAAUUUGCUGCUCAACUGGCUAAUUGCAGCCUACGACAAAGAAAACACCGGAAAGAUCCGAGCAUUCACCAUCAAGGUCGCACUGUCCCAUAUGUGUGCCGGCAAGUUCAUGGACAAGUUAAGGUACAUUUUUACGCAAAUCUCUGACACCAGUGGGUAUUUGGUGUGGGCAAGAUUUGAGGACUACCUGGCCGAUCUGCUCAUGUUGCCUACCGCUGUCUUCGAGGGUCCAUCAUUUGGCUACAACGAGACUGCGGCACGAAGCUGCUUUGAUUCUACUGGCCGAGUGAGCGUCAACGACUUCCUGAAUGUCCUGAUGUGUGACCCCGGCCCCCAGUGUCUGAUGUGGCUCCCUGUACUCAACAGGAUGGCACACGUGGAGAACGUGCUUCAUCCUGUUCAGUGCGAGGGCUGCCACCGAGAAUCAUUCACAGGGUUCCGCUACAAGUGCCAGCGAUGUUUCAACUACCACCUCUGCCAGGAUUGCUUCUGGAGGGGCCGCACCUCUGCAAACCACCGCAUUGAACACGAAAUGAAAGAAUAUACCACAUAUAAAUCCCAAGCCAAACAGAUCGGUCACUCUAUACGGAAGUCCUUCCAGUGUACACCGGUCAAGUCCACUCAGAAAAUGCCACAUUUCCCUGAUGCACCCGAGAAAACCAUUGAUCUUUCAUACAUUGUUCCACCAACACCUAUACCCGUUCACAAUGGAUUCCCUGACCACCCUAUUAUAACGUCAGGGGAUGUGUCUUCCCUUGACAGUAGCUCCGCCCCCAGGAGCCCCAGUAAACACAAUGCAAGUACAGACUCAUUUCGGAUAGACGACGAACAUCGACUGAUCGCCCGAUACGCUGCCCGCCUAGCAGCUGACAGCUCCAAAGCAUCCCAGAGUCCAACCGAGCUCAACUUCAGCUUAGACACCAACAAGGCACAGAGAGAACUCAUCUCCCAGCUGGAGGCCAAAAACAGGGAGAUCAUGCGAGAGAUACAACGACUACGGUUAGAGCAGGAGUCAUAUGCUGCGGAGAAUGAGGAGGCACAAUAUAACCCAACUCUCCUGGCAGAGCUGCGACUACUACGACAACGGAAGGAUGAGCUGGAGGGCCGCAUGCAGGCACUUCAGGAGAGCAGGAAAGACUUGAUGGUGCAGCUGGAGAGUCUCAUGAAGCUGCUGAAGAAUCAUCCAAAUUCACCUCGCUCCACACCAAAUAGUUCACCUCGGUCACGGAGUGGGUUGUCCCCAACGAUAGCCCCUCCCCCAGCCAAGAACUCCACCCCCAGCACACCCAUGGACAUGUCUCUGACUGGGUUGGGGGGUGACGUACGACAAGCCUUCCAUCAAACACCCAGCAGCGGGGGGAACGUCCGCAGUCUACGGAAUGACCUGUUAGUGGCGGCAGAUUCGGUCACCAACGCCAUGUCAUCUCUCGUGAAGGAGUUAAACUCAGAAAACAGCGGCAGUGAGGAAGAUGAUGACUUAAAUGGGAAAAGUUUAGGACACUCUUCUUCUGACAACUAUGAGAAUGAUUCCAUGGUUCGGUCUACGGGUACCGACGACAUCGAGUCUUGGCGGGAUGAUAUCCGCUGGAGGUUGAAGCAAGAGUCUGAGUUCCUCGCCCAACUGCGGGCUCGGCGACAACGGAGUGAGAACAGCAGUCAGACCACAAGUGAUAAUGAACAAGAUCCCUACAUUCCAGAUGAUGAUCAGUCGUAUGUGAGGACAGAUGAUGACAGUGCCCUCAACACAGAUGACGGCGAGUCGUUUGUUCGCACUGACGAUGACCGUAGUGGGAAAGGAGUGGAGACGACUGAGAAUGCUGAGCUUUAUGACAAUCACCCUGGGGAGUUGAUGACGAGCAGUCGGUACACGACUGAUGAGGAAAGCUACCUGCAGACAGACGAGGAGUCGUACAUCCGCACCGACGAUGAGGAAGGGGGCAACACAGACUGGGAGGAGUCCACUCGCAGAUGGGUGAACCGAUGAUCCAUUUACAGGCUGGAAGAAGCCAGUGUAUAUAUACCCCGCGUUACAUAGAAUGAUUGAAUGACACAUGGUGAAUGUACGAUCAUGAUGACAUGUAUACACGCAGCCAUGUGUCAGGAGAUGUUUGCCGAUUGUGUAUAUACGCCACGGAACCAAUCAAGGUCUCCCAAGUCUGAUCUGCAAGUGAUAUAGAAAUGUAUAUCCCGCUUUGGGUGAUAACGAACAUGUGUAGGUGAUAACAGUGGUAUCACACUGUGCUUGGUAUUCAACAUGUAUUAAACCAAGAAGUAUAUUGGCAGCCAUUUUGUAUUAGGCAAAGAGCACAUGGUGUUGUGUUGCCAUGGUUACAGGACGAACUGGCAGCUGAAGGCCAGGAGAAUGUGAUGACUUCUGUGUUCCAGAAUUUGUGUAAGAUAGCUUACUGUCAUGUAGAGGUACAAAAGUUACUGCACUUGAUGACCUCCGGUGUAUUGUGAAGAGAAAAUAUUGAUGUGUGUCAGAUUGAGAUGAGGUGUAAUGAUGUGAGUCAGACUGAGUUAUGGUGUUAUGAUGUUGUUUGUUUCUUAGUCCAUCAUGUACCUGCCCUAUACAUCACAGCAAGAAUAAAUGGAAAUAGUAUUUUUCAUCAUAUAGAUAUGUUAUCCAAUGCAAACAAUGCAAUGCCACUUGGAGGAGCUGUCUAAAGUCAUCCAUCAUGACUGCAAAGUUGGAAUGAAAAAUACUGAGCGUAAGUCUUCAAGUACCAAAAGAACCAAAGCUUUCAGGAAGUAUUGCCAGUUUGGACUUUUAACUGCUUUAGCAUAGAAUUUAUGGUGCUGACAGCAAGCUCUUUGUGCACACAUAAGAAUCAAAUAUGAUGCCAUAAAUUGCACUUCAGUUGCAACAAGUUCCAAUAUCUAAACAGUGCUGCAGUAUACAGAGUUUUUGCUUUAUCUUUUUUUAUGUGUGUUAUUUGGACAAAAUAAUUUCUUGCUGCAUCUGACACUCCCAUUCACUGACCCUGGAAACUGAUUAUUUUACUGUCAGGACAUUUUCAUAAAUGAAAAGGUUUUAAAACUCUUUGUUUUAAUGUGAAAUCGAUCUGGGUGUUUUUGUUUAUGACAACAACUUUUGCAGCAAACUGUUUGUUCAGGUUUUUAUAUGGCGUAUAAAUCAAUGUCUGCUACUAAGCUAGAGCAGUUCCUGGUGUAAAGGUCAACGUCUGCUACUGAUCUAGGGCAAUUCCUGGUGUAUAGAUUGACGUCUGCUACUAAGCUAGAGCUGUUCCUGGUGUAUAGAGUGACAUCUGCUACUAAGCUAGAGCAUGUUCCUGGUGUAUAGAUUGACAUCUGCUACUGA
rnacentral:misc_RNA from 1 species